CCUUGUCGGCGGGACAUUUUGGAGGGUUUGGCGGGUUACUGAAAGGUUUCUCAUGUUCCCUUUGGACUUGGCUGAGCCUGGCGGCGUUUGCCAGAGCACAGUUUCGUGGUGUUGUCUUAGAUAGUUAAUCCCAUCUCUCAAUCUAAGCAAUGGGAGAGGGGGAGGGCGGCCACAGUCUGUUCCGUCCCCUUCUUGUCAUCCCAGGGAUCAUGACCCUUGGUGUGACAGGCUGCCUAGACAGGGCUGGACCAAUUGCCCUGUGGUCAUAGGUCAUCUCCAUCACCAUUUCUUAGUGCUGCCCACGCCCUCCCGUGCCUCCAUCACAACUUCCUGUGACAUAUUCCUCAGCAAUUACCACUCUGAAGUCAUCUUGUUUAUCUGUUAGCUCCCAGUAUAAGUCAUCCCCGAGAAUGGCAGCCCUGGCCUGUCUCCAUGAUGGCCCUCUGCGCCUCUGGAUAGCAGAGAUUGAAAGGUUAUUGAACAUGAAAUAGUUAUUUGAGGAAUGAAUUAAUUAAGCCAUCUAGUUUAUCUGCUUGACUUCUAGUCUGUUGGCACGUGAGGGUGAGGCUCCUGCUAGGCUUGUUCAGUGAUUUCCUCCCUGUACCUAAUAAUUACAGAUGACAUUCGUGAGAGAGUGACUAAGAAGUGAGGGGGCAGGAGCGGAUGGCAUGUGGUUCUAUUCAGAGACGUGUCGGGUAAGAUGGACGAACUGCUUGGCUUGGGUUUCAGGUGUGACUUCCCACCUCUGUGCAACCCGUUGUUCCCCCCAUCUGUGCCUCCCGACAGAGCAAUUUGCCAUUUGAAAUGACAGUUGGAGGAAAAUCUUUGCAUCUUGGUACUUAAAGAGCUACUUAGAAUUACCGUUUGUCCCUAAUUUGCUCAAUUGUUAAAAACAAACUAAGCCAGGUUAGUUUAGGAGGGUGAAUCGUUCUUUUUUUUUUUUUUAAUAGCCAAAGCCGUUUAUAUUUCAAAAGAUAAAAAAUUACAUUAGAUAGGAAGGAAAUAAUAUGGUUGGUAGCUUCUAAGUGCAAUUUGUGGUAUCUGGGGUUUUUUUUUUUUUCUUUUAAUAUUCGUACUUUGAGUAAUUUCUUGGGGAGGUAAUGCUUUAAGGGCUGCUGAGAGGGCCCCAGCCUUGGUAAAGAUGUGAACUUAGUGUUGCUGGGUAUUACUGACUCUAGAGCCGUCAGUACAGAACAGUCGGUCCCUGCUGCCCUAGAGUUUUGUGAAGCUAGCUAGCUGCCCAGCCUCCUCCUCCUCCUCUUCCUCCUCCUCUUCUUCUCUCCUCUUUCUUUGCCCUCUAGUUCAAGGUUUUUAUUUGUCAAAGUCAUACCAGAAAACUUACUUCUUUUCCAUUGCUCUCCAGAAUACCACUGUACUGGUCUACUGAUUUUCCUUCCUACAUCUGGAGUGAUUGGGAUGGAGUGAUGGGCAGAUGGAGGUCUGGGGUCCAAGGGUCUUUUCUGCGUCUCCCUGUACUAAAAACGCUAAUAACUCUCUUGGGUUGGGAGAGCAAGGUCUUCUAUCACUGCCUCCUAGAGACACACUAAGAGGCUCACUAAGGGAGCAAAACAAGAUUUUUAGAUCCUUAAGCGCCGUGUUCGUGAUGGUUCCUUUUACCAAGAGAGAAGUCAUUAGGCCAUUAACGUGAUUUGGAAUGAGGUGACUGGAUCUUGUGGGUCUGGCCCAGGGAUGGCACCUGUGACUCCUACCUGCCAGGAACUGGUUUGUGGACAAACCAGAAGUGAAGAGAAAACUAGAAAGUAUCCAGACAGAAGGCUCUGUGUCAGGGAGACCAUGGACUGUGAGGAGGAGCCUCAGACCUCACUGAGAUUGCAAAUGGGACAACCGCAGAGGUUGGGGCACCUGCAAGCACUGGUAUGAGUGGGCUUCAGUGACAAGCCCUGGCUCUGACUCUGACCGGCCUCUUUGAUUUCAAAGCUUUGCUCAUUUGUCCUCCGCUUUUGUAUCAUUAUUUCAUCUGAUUCAUCGAUACUUAAAAUUCUGGAUUGCUGUGGUAUACAAUAAUCCACCUUACCCAUAGGUUUGUUUUCCAUAAUUCUUCAACCAUCCGUGGUCUACUGUAGAUACUAAAUGACAGACUGCAGAAGUAAAUAAUUCACAAGAUUGAAGUUGUAUACUAUUCUGAGUGGCGUGAGGAAUUCUUGUUGCAGCUCGGUCUCCUCUGUCCCAGACAUGCACCCUGCUGUGUCUGCAAUGUACACCACCCACUGAUGUAAACCAUUCCUCUCCAGGGUGUCUGUACUGUACCACUGAUGUAUACCAUUCCUCUCCAGGGUGUCUGUACUGUACCACUGAUGUAUACCAUCCUUCUCCAGGGUGUCUUGGGUUAUGUACACUCCCCACCAACACAGACCAUCUCUCUCCAGGGUGUCUGUGCUGUAUGCACUACGCAUCUAUGAUUCCAGGAACCCACUGUGGGUCUUGAAACACAUCCCAGAGAAUAAGAAGCCACUAUCAUAAUGAUAUAUGUAUUUGGUACUUGUCCCUGGUUUCUGUCACAGAACUCCUGACCUCUUGUGAUUUCCUGAGUCGCGGUGAGUUCCUUUCGAUGUCUCAGUUCACAGUAAGGAUGGUAAUAAGAUGGUGUGAAUGCGAUACUGGCCUCAGGGUGGAACCAGAUAUGGGAAAGACUGAUUAGAGGGCUAGAACCUUCAUCUGUGUUCCCAAACUUCCUAGGGCGGCCACAGCCGGAGAUUGAACUCCACAAAGCAUCAUGGACAGGGGGAUCUGAUGGCUUUGUGGGUUGGUGAGCACAUUCACAGGCCGGAGGGUAUUAUGCUCACUCCAUGGGGACAGAAGCUCUUGUGUACUGGACCCUUAUGAACCCCACCCCGUGAACUUCUCCAUCUGACUAUCCAUCACUGUCCUCGAUUAUAAUGACAAAAUGAAGGGUUUUCCCCUUGGGGCCUUUAAAGACAUCCUAGCAAGUUGUAAAAGAGGAGGGUGUAGACAGAGACAUAGUUUAUAGCUGGCUACUCAGGAGUGCAGGUGACCAGGCGGAAGUUGAGAUCAGAGGUCCAAAGAUGGUGGGGGUAAGGGCAGUCCUGGGGGACUAUAUGCUUAGCCUGUGGGGCUUACUCUAUCUCCAGGCAGAGUGUCCUCUGCAAACUGCACAUGUGUGCCCUCCUCUCACAUUAGUAUGUUUGUGUGGAGAGACCAGUAGGAAGUGACCGUCAGAACUAGCCCCUUGCACAACUACCGUGCUUCAAUAGACAGCCAGUGUCUGCUUCAGCAUGGGCUAAGUAUGUAACUCCUGAAAGGAAGCAAGGCCCACAGGCUUGCUGAUGGCAUGCCACAUGCUCUUCAAGUGUCACUCACUUUGGGACAGCCUGGUGCCCUCCUUCACCCAUUCUUUAGACUCUCAUCUGAUCUCACCUGAUCCUUUGGGCAAUGCCAUGAAGGGUUGGACUUCCUCCCUUCCCCUUAACAUGUACCUGCUAUCUUUAAUCCUAACUUCUUUUUUAAAUGUGUGUGUGUGUGUGUGUGUGUGUGUGUGUGUGUGUGUGUGUGUGUUUAUGAAUGUAGGUCAGAAGACAACUUUGGGUAUUAUUCUCCGGUCUCUUAUUGGCCUGGAACUCACCAAUUAGGUUAGGCUGGCCAGUAGUCCUCCUGUCUGAAGAAUCUUCUUGUCUGUGCCUGAGAAAUGCUGGGAUUGAAGUAUAUGUGUCUGGUGUGUGCCAGUGCAAGUGCACAUGUGUGUGUGUGUGUGUGUGUGUGUGUGUGUGUGUGUGUGUGUAUGCAGAGGCUCAAGGUCAGUGUCAGAUGUUGUGAUAGUUUGUAUAUGCUUGGCCCAGGGAGUGGCACUCUUAGGAGGAGUGGCCUUGUUGGAGUAGGUGUGUCACUGGGGGCUUGGGCUUUAAGACUCUCCUCCUGGCUGCCUCGAGGAUCUAGCAGUCUUCUAGCAGCCUUCAGAUGAAGAUGUAGAACUCUCAGCUAUGCCUGCACCAUGCCUGCCUGGACACUGCCCUGCUCCCACCUUGAUGCUAAUGGACUGAACCUCUGAGCCUUGGCUCCAAACUGAUCUCUCCAUUCAAUGACCAGCCAGCAUGGAAUCUUUGGAUGAAGAGAAGAGGCACCAUUAUCCCCACAUCAGAGCUAAGAAGCAGAGGCAAAGAGAUUCAGGGUGACUUCUGUUUGAUUCCUUCCUGUCAGAUCCUCUUAUCAUUGGGUUGUUGUGACCUAACUACAAUACAAAUUCAUUACUUGGGUGAUAGCUGGUGACAGGGUGACCUGCUAAGUAGCCCUUACUCACUACUGGGUAAGAUGGUCCACACCAUGCAUUGCUUUGAGCACUAGUGAAAGUGUGACAAAUCCUGGGCAGAUUCUACCGAGAGAAUUGGUGGUAAAGGGCCGGCAAGGUGGCUCAGUGGGUAGGGUGCUUGAUUGCAAGCCUGAUGACCUGAGUUCGAUCCCUGGAUCCCACGUGAUGUAAAGAGAGAACCAAUACCUUCGAGUUAUAUCCUUUUCCCCACACACUCGCACAUCCCCUCCCCCAAUAAAUAAAAAAAAAACAUCAAAAUGUACAUAGAACAAAAGGGUAAGUUGGUGUCUUAACUUAUCGUGCAUUUCCUAAAAUCCUUUGGAAGAAACGUUCUGUGUAUGUUUCAGAAACUUUUUCAAAGGCUUGAGGGUGGAGCUUGGCUGGAAGAAUCCUGCCCUCACAUACAACCAGGUUAUGGGUUUGGUCCCCGGUACCACAUAAACUGUGCAGGGUGGCAGAAUCCAGUUAUUCCAACACUUGGGAGAGGGAUGCUGGAUGAUCAUCAAUCCCAACGUUAUCUUGAUGUAGGUAGAAAGUUUCAGGCUGGUCUGGGUUACAUGAGCCUAAAACAGUGAUGAUGAUGAUGAUGAUGAUGAUGAUGAUGAUGAUGAUGAUGAUAAAAUCAACAAAUAUUAAACCAAAGAAGCUACAUAAAAAGGAGGAAGUGUAGAAAGAAAGUCAGUUGUCUGCCAUUAAUCAUCUUUAAAGGACUGGUCUGGUAACUUAGUAUCCUACAGACAGAGCCCCAGAGUGGCAGGGCAGCCUGACAUGUGGUACCAUGUAGGUAGAAGGUUCUUACACAAGGCCCUCAGAGGUAGUUCUUUUCUAAGACCCUGGGGAUCACCACACCUUUGAGGGUGGUUGCUUGUAAACCUAGCAGGCUGCCAAGGGCCCCCUCUGAGUAUAUCUAGUCAAGUAAGGGGCAGGAUGAUAGCACGGGCUAUCAGUCUCACUUCCAUGGUGAGGGACAGGGCUGCAGGUCUCACUGCUAUGCUGAAGCCAUUGACAGAAGCACCCGAUGGAGGGAAAAGUUUAUUUUACCUUGGAUCAUAUUUGCUAUGCAGAUCAUCGUGAUGGGGAAGGUAUGGACGUAGGAGCUAAGGUGUCAGUCAUGUGUCUAUAGUCAGGUCAGCAAACAGGAAGAGGGGGAAGGUCAGGGAUCAGGGAAGAAAGAGGGAAGAGGAGUAGAAAGAGGGAGAGAGGGGAGAAGACAGAGAGAUGAGGGGCAGUUCACUGCCUCCUUUUAGUUCUGUUAGGACCCCAGCCCAUGGGAUUGUGAUUUCCACAUUAAGGGUAUGUCAUCUCAGUUAAAUCUCUCAGGAAACACCCCUACAGACACGCCCACUGAUAUGGCUCCUAGGUGACUGCAAAUCUGGUUGAGAUGACAUUCACAAUGAGCCAUUGAAAAGACUCAGUGGGAUUAUUGAUACCCAGCAUGGCAAGCAGACUGUGGCUGGCCGGUUUUGCCAGUGGGCUGUCAUAGGCUUUGAAUACCCAAGUGUCACCUGGGACAACACGUGGGAUGAAUUGGCAUGAAGACAUUCUUUUCCACUCCCAUUGCUUAAUCGCUGAUCCAUUGCUGUGAAGAGACACCAUGACCAAGGCAACUCUUACAGAAGGAAGCGCUUAAUCGAGGGCUUUCUUAGAAUUUUAUAGACUUAGUCCAUUAUCAUCAUGGCAGGAGCAUGGCAGCACACAAGCAGACAUGGUGCUGGAGAUGUAGCUGAGAGGACAACCUCAUCCACAGGCAGAGGAGAGAGAGAGAGAGAGAGAGAGAGAGAGAGAGAGAGAGAGAGAGAGAGAGAGAGAGAGAGAGAGGGACAGAGACAGAGAGACAGAGACAGAGAGAGAGAGAGAGAGAGAGAGAGAGAGAGAGAGAGAGAGAGAGGCCCCAGUGACAGGCUUUCUCCAACGAGGCCGUACCUUCUAAUCUUCAUCCUUUCAAAUAGUUCUACUACUUCCUAGAGACUAAGCAUUUAAAUAUAUGAGCCUAUGGGGUCAUUCUUAUUCAAACCGCCAUACCAAUCAUGUGUCCUCUGUCCCCAUACGUCCUCUCAGAGCAAACCAAACCAAGGCAAACCAAACCAAGGCAAAUCAAACCAUGACCACAUCCCUCCCAGCUGUAAACCCACUUGUCACUCUGUCACUUGUCUAUUUAGCUGCUCCAGCAGCACUCCAGGGAUGCGCCAAGAGGACUUUUAAAAAUAAAAUAUCAAUCAGUAGCAUCCAGACAAUGAAGCAACCUGAAGCGGAUCUGAGAGAUCCAGAAGCCUGCAGGGGUCUAGGGUCUUGAUCUUCUCAGGCCUGGUGUGAGGUAGUGUGUGGAGAGAGAGAACACCAGGCUAUACGGUGUUCAAAGGUGAUCUCUGUCAUUUGCAAAUGUAUCCUUACAAGUUCCUAGCACAGUGCCAGGCACACAACCUCUGCUCAGAAAGCCAUUACUGAACAAACGAGGACUUGGCAUGGAGUCAGCUGAGACUCCAUGAACAUUUGAGACUGACUGAACAUUUGAGAAUACCUGGUCUGGCUUAGCUAUGGAGCCCAGCAGUGUAAACAGCCAAUGAACUCAUAAACAAAACUUGGAAUUCAUAAAGCAUGCCGUGAAGGUCCCUAAACCAGGCAGAACACAGUUACAGGUAGAGCACCGGCAAGUAUUUAGAUCUGACCAGCAGCCUCACCAGUUCCCUUGGGCCCAAGAGCAUGUCUAAGGAAACCAGAACUGAGAGCCGCAGGGUUGUGGUCCAGUGGAGCUCAGAGUAGGUCCUGGGGGAGGUUUGUGCUCACACUCAAAUGGCCUCCAGUUCGGAGAACAGCUGUUGUGUUCAGGUCCAAGGGAAAAAAAUGCUAAUCCAUAUGUCCUUGGUGUGUCCCAAUUAGAAGUGUCCAGAUGAUCGAUCGGACAGUCCCCAGCCAGCUCUGGAGCGUGGCCAUACUGCUGAAGGUUGGUUCAAUGUUCAGCAGCAUGUGCCCAGCUCCUUCUCUCUCCAUUGUUCAUCAAGGGAAUAUUUGAUAAACAGCUUUGUUGUUUCUGCUGCGGGUUGGGGGGUAACUGAGUAAAAUGUGUUCUGAAGAGCUGGGACUCAAAAGGAAACACAAAUCUAACCGGAAAAGCCCCCUUCACGAAUUGUUACAUUUAAUGUAUUGUUAUGUUAACAAUGAGGAAAAGCCACAUCACUACUGGGAUGAGGGCUCCCAACAGACGAUGAUGACGAUGAUGAUGAUGAUGAUGAUGAUGAUGAUGACAACGAAGACGAUGGUGAUGACAAUGAUAAUGAUGAUAAUGAUAAUGAUGAUGACAGUGAUGAUGAUGACAAUGAAGAUUAUAAUGAUGAUGACGACAAUGAUGAUGACAAUGAAGACGAUAGAGAUGACAAUGACAAUGAUGAUAAUGAUACGAUGACAGUGUUGACGAGGAUGACAAUGAUGACAAUGAAUGAUGAUGUCAUGACAAUGAUGAUGAUGACAAUGAAGAUUAUGACAAUGAUGAUGAUGAUGACAAUGAUGAUGUCAAUGAAUAAUGAUGACGACGACAAUGACGACGAUGAUGAUGAUGACAGUGACAAUGACAAUGAUGAUGAUGACAAUGACUAUGAUGAUGAUGACGGUGACAAUGGCAAUGAUGAUGACAAUGACAAUGAUGAUGACAAUGACAAUGAUGAUGACAAUGACAAUGAUGAUGACAAUGAUGUCAAUGAAUAAUGAUGACAAUGACGUUGACGACGACGACCACAACGACGAUGAUGAUGACAAUGAUGAUGAUGAUGAUGACAAUGAUGAUGAUGAUGAUGAUGAUGACAAUGACAAUGAUGGUGAUGACAACGGUGAAGAUGACAAUGAUAAUGAUAAUGAUAAUGAUGAUGACAGUGAGAGUGAUGGUGCUAACAAUGAUGAUGCAUGUGUGCAUUCAUAUGUGUACACAUGUAUGAAAGCCAGACGACAACCUUAGGUGUCUUUCUGAAAAAUGUCACUCACUUCCUUUAAGACAGGGUCUCUUAUUGGAUUGGAACUUACUGACUAAAUUAGGCUGACUGGUCAGUAACCCCCAGGACAUUUCCGUCCCUGCUUCUUCAGUGCUGAAACUAUAGGUGUGUGCUAUUGUCCCUGGCAUUUUACUUGGGUUCUGGGAUUGAAUUCAUGACCUCUUGCUUACAGUGCAAGCACUUUAGUGAAUGGUCUACAUCUCCAACACCAUCAUGGGGUCUUAAGUCUAUACAGAUCUUUGUUCUAAUCACACGCAAUGGCAGCUGGCAGAUAGGAAAAGAGCCACGUGUACUCAUGUGUUGAGGGUCUUUGGAAUAUGGAGAAGGAAGAGGACCACAGUUAGUGCCUAGUCAUUUUCCUUUAUUGUUUCCUGUUUCCCAGAAGGAAAUGCAGGAAGGAGUGCAUUUUCUUGUCUUCCGAUGGUGUCUGUGAUGGUUCACGUUGGUCAUCGACCUGAUGGAAUUUAGAAUCAGCAUGGAAACAAAUGUCUGAGUGUGUCCGUGAGAGAUCGGAUCCCCUGGAAUAGGUUAACUGGUGUGAGGAGACCAUCUCCAAAGGUGGCCAGAGCCAUUUCAUGGGCUGUAAUCCCGUGUGGAUAAAACGGAGAAAGUGAGCUGAGUGCCAACCAUCACUUUCCCUUGCUUCCUGUCUGUGGAUGGGAUGUGACGCCAACUCCUGCCGCCAUGCCUUCCGUGACUUGACAGCCUUCAUGGCUGCAACAUGAGACAAAAUAAAGUCUGUUUUCCUUGAGGUGCCUUUGCUAGGUGUCUUGUUGCUGUGACAACACAAAACUACUAGAGCAGUGUUAAAUGUAGAUUGGAAUAAGGUGGGCCUCAUGGAGCAUCUGUUACUGACACGAACGCCUUGGUUCCUUCACUGUAACGGCGUUCAGGUGUCUGCAUUUUAAACACAGCUAACCAGACCACAGUGUUCUUUGUGUGUCCACUGAAAUUACAGUUGGGAAACCAAGUAUUUUUUUUUAAACUUAAUAAAAUAUCUUUUAUGACCA